UUUAUAUAUUUUUCCCCCUGUCAGACGAACGCUGGCGGCGUGCCUAAUACAUGCAAGUCGAGCGGACAGAAGGGAGCUUGCUCCCGGAUGUUAGCGGCGGACGGGUGAGUAACACGUGGGUAACCUGCCUGUAAGACUGGGAUAACUCCGGGAAACCGGAGCUAAUACCGGAUAGUUCCUUGAACCGCAUGGUUCAAGGAUGAAAGACGGUUUCGGCUGUCACUUACAGAUGGACCCGCGGCGCAUUAGCUAGUUGGUGAGGUAACGGCUCACCAAGGCGACGAUGCGUAGCCGACCUGAGAGGGUGAUCGGCCACACUGGGACUGAGACACGGCCCAGACUCCUACGGGAGGCAGCAGUAGGGAAUCUUCCGCAAUGGACGAAAGUCUGACGGAGCAACGCCGCGUGAGUGAUGAAGGUUUUCGGAUCGUAAAGCUCUGUUGUUAGGGAAGAACAAGUGCAAGAGUAACUGCUUGCACCUUGACGGUACCUAACCAGAAAGCCACGGCUAACUACGUGCCAGCAGCCGCGGUAAUACGUAGGUGGCAAGCGUUGUCCGGAAUUAUUGGGCGUAAAGGGCUCGCAGGCGGUUUCUUAAGUCUGAUGUGAAAGCCCCCGGCUCAACCGGGGAGGGUCAUUGGAAACUGGGAAACUUGAGUGCAGAAGAGGAGAGUGGAAUUCCACGUGUAGCGGUGAAAUGCGUAGAGAUGUGGAGGAACACCAGUGGCGAAGGCGACUCUCUGGUCUGUAACUGACGCUGAGGAGCGAAAGCGUGGGGAGCGAACAGGAUUAGAUACCCUGGUAGUCCACGCCGUAAACGAUGAGUGCUAAGUGUUAGGGGGUUUCCGCCCCUUAGUGCUGCAGCUAACGCAUAAGCACUCCGCCNGG
rnacentral:rRNA from 1 species